UACGUAGGGUGCAAGCGUUGUCCGGAAUUAUUGGGCGUAAAGAGCUCGUAGGCGGCCUGUUGCGUCCGCUGUGAAAGCCCGGGGCUUAACCCCGGGUCGCAGUGGAUACGGGCAGGCUAGAGGUAGGUAGGGGAGAAUGGAAUUCCCGGUGUAGCGGUGAAAUGCGCAGAUAUCGGGAGGAACACCGGUGGCGAAGGCGGCGACCUGGGCAGAUACUGACACUGAGGUGCGAAAGCGUGGGGAGCAAACAGGG
rnacentral:rRNA from 1 species